AGUGAACGCUGGCGGUAGGCCUAACACAUGCAAGUCGAACGGCAGCACAGUAAGAGCUUGCUCUUACGGGUGGCGAGUGGCGGACGGGUGAGGAAUACAUCGGAAUCUACUUUUUCGUGGGGGAUAACGUAGGGAAGCUUACGCUAAUACCGCAUACGACCUACGGGUGAAAGCAGGGGAUCUUCGGACCUUGCGCGAUUGAAUGAGCCGAUGUCGGAUUAGCUAGUUGGCGGGGUAAAGGCCCACCAAGGCGACGAUCCGUAGCUGGUCUGAGAGGAUGAUCAGCCACACUGGAACUGAGACACGGUCCAGACUCCUACGGGAGGCAGCAGUGGGGAAUAUUGGACAAUGGGCGCAAGCCUGAUCCAGCCAUACCGCGUGGGUGAAGAAGGCCUUCGGGUUGUAAAGCCCUUUUGUUGGGAAAGAAAAGCAGCAGGUUAAUACCACGCUGUUCUGACGGUACCCAAAGAAUAAGCACCGGCUAACUUCGUG
rnacentral:rRNA from 1 species